CUUUACUGUAACCUGGAAUUGGGUUCGGGCUUUGCUUGCGCAGGAUAGGUGGGAGGCGUUGAGAUAUUCCUUGUGGGGAAUGUGGAGCCAACGGUGAGAUACCACUCUGGUGAGGCUAGAAUUCUAACCCGAUGCCGUGAACCGGCUCGGGAACAGUUUCAGGCGGGCAGUUUGACUGGGGCGGUCGCCUCCUAAAAGGUAACGGAGGCGCGCAAAGGUUCUCUCAGGCUGGUUGGAAAUCAGCCGUAGAGUGUAAAGGCAUAAGAGAGCUUGACUGCGAGACAAACACGUCGAGCAGGGUGGAAACACGGCCUUAGUGAUCCGACGGCGCUGCGUGGAAUGGCCGUCGCUAAACGGAUAAAAGUUA
rnacentral:rRNA from 1 species